rnacentral:rRNA from 1 species
AACGAACGCUGGCGGCAGGCCUAACACAUGCAAGUCGAACGCUCCGCAAGGGGAGUGGCGCACGGGUGAGUAACACGUGGGAACCUACCUUCUGGUACGGAACAACCAAGGGAAACUUUGGCUAAGACCGUAUACGACCUCCGGGUGAAAGAUUGAUCGCCGGAAGAGGGGCCCGCGUCCGAUUAGGUAGUUGGUGAGGUAACGGCUCACCAAGCCUUCGAUCGGUAGCUGGUCUGAGAGGAUGACCAGCCACACUGGGACUGAGACACGGCCCAGACUCCUACGGGAGGCAGCAGUGGGGAAUAUUGGACAAUGGGCGCAAGCUGAUCCAGCCAUGCCGCGUGAGUGAU